AGCAAAGAUCUAAUAGCAUAUAUAGCUUCCACUGCUCUGCGACUCUGCCUUUAGAAAUGCACCACCUUCCUGUCUUAUUCCAGACACAGAGAGCAUAGCACUUUUCUUCCAAGGACCCACAACGGAUGCAGCCGGUGCAGGUCCUGGAUGAGAAGCAAGGUUGGCUUGCGCCAGGGGAAUCCAGAGGGCUUCCCCUCCCCCAAACAGACUGGGCAUGAGUGGGAAGAUCAGGAAAGCUUUCCAGGGCUUGACCCAUGAGCAGGAUUUGGACGUCUCCUUCGACGGUGAUGGCAAACACAACUCCAGAGCAGAGAUGGGAGAGAAUGUUCUCUGGGCUUUUCCAGCAAUGACAGAAGAAGACAGAGUCUCUGGUCAUCACUCUUCCCAGUUAGAGGAGAUUGUGGGCAGAGGAGGUGAAGAAAAGCAUGCACAUCUCUAACCAUCGGGAUGCAUUGGUGAGCACAUCACAAUGAGCAGAUCCACCACCUGCCUGAAGCCCCACACUAGGCAAACAAGAGCAGUGACUCGGAAGCCCCCAUCAUCUGCAGCACAUGAGAGAACUACAUCUCUAUGACUGCAAUCCCUAGUACCCUCCAGCCUGUAAUCCCAGUGGCUUGGGAGGCUGGGGCAGGAGGAUUGCAAUUUGGAGGCCAGCCUCAGCAACUUAACAAGGCCCUGAGCAACUUAGUGAGAUCCUGCCUCUAAAUAAAAUAUAAAAAGGACUGAGGAUAUGGCUCAGUGGUUAAGGACCCAUGGCUUCAAUCCCCAGUAUUUUUUUAAAAAUGUAUCUCUGCAGAUCAUAAUAUAAGAUUGCUUUCUGACCAUUAUCAAGUAGAAUAAGCCUUGUGAGGUAAAGUCCAGCAAAUUAUUCUGUAAGAGAUGAAGCAAUUUCUAGCCAGCAUUAGAACUCAGUUUCUAUAGGAUGGCAAAUUUUAAAUCUUUAUCCUACUGAUACUAUGUCAUAUUAUCUGCUUAAAUCUUUACCCCACUGAUAUUAUGCUCUUCCUGUUGUGAGCCACAUCUUUGAAAUAAAUUGCUUUUCUUAAAAUGCAAGUAAAAGUGUCUGCAUGCCAAUGAAAGAGCAACCGCAGUUAUAUGAAAAGUUUGAAAUUUUUGACAUCAUCAUUUCUGCACACAUAAGAACUGAAGUUAGUUGCUGUAUCCAACAUCAACAUCACUAUCCCAAUAUAAACCUGAGAAAAUUUUGCAAAUCUUCAUCCUGGGUUACUUUUGGAAGCAAAGAUCUGCCUGUGAC
rnacentral:lncRNA from 1 species